rnacentral:rRNA from 1 species
GGAAUAUUGCCCAAUGGAGGAAACUCUGGGGCAGCGACGCCGCGUGGGUGAAGAAGGCUUUCGGGUCGUAAAGCCCUUUUCUGCGUGACGAGACAAGGACGGUAGCGCAGGAAGAAGUCUCGGCUAACUACGUGCCAGCAGCCGCGGUAAAACGUAGGAGGCAAGCGUUAUCCGGAGUUACUGGGCGUAAAGCGCACGCAGGCGGACAAGUAAGUGGGUUGUGAAAGCGCCCGGCUAAACCGGGCGAGGACAAGUCAGACUGCUGGUCUAGAGGCGGAUAGAGGGGUGCGGAAUUCCGGGUGUAGCGGUGAAAUGUGUAGAGAUCCGGAGGAACACCAGUGGUGCAAACGGCGCCCUGGGUCCGAACUGACGCUGAGGUGCGAAAGCAUGGGGAGCGAAC